UUUCAUGUCAUGAAUAUGAGACCAUUGGUGAGUUUCUAGAGGUUUUCAGACCAUUCAACUUGAGAACAACAGAACUUUCUUCAGAGAAAACGGUGGCAGCAUCAAAAGUCAUUCCAAUUAUCCAAAUGGUGCAAUCAUCAACUAUACUGGAUCCAUGAUUCAAAAUAACUGAAUAACUGUUUGGGAAUACAACAUCUGCACAAGAUGGUGUUGCCAGGGUAACCACUCAAUGUGCUGCAAGCAUGAAAUUGGAGAGGGUGUCACUGUCAACAUCACCGUCAUUAACAGAACCGGCGUCUAGAUCUGCAGCAGCAGAGGACCAGGACAACUUGUGGGAUCAUCUGGAUAGCCGAGUUGCAACCUAUAUCUAGCAUCCAGCAAAAAUGUUGCAUAUUGAGUUGGAGGAGGAGGAAGAAGACGGCAUUCCUUUCAGAAACCUUUUGAUCUCAAGACUCAACCUACAACCCUGGAGACUGUCACUCAACCUUCAGAAAUGAGUGAGAUGCAGUCCCCGCCUGAUUACGCACUUUGACCCAGGCUCCUGCUCUGGUGUGUGGCGAUGGUGGGCAUGCCUGUUUCCUCGGCAACCAUGGAGCUUCACCUGCAUCUCACUCUACAAUCACGCAGCGAGACCAGCUCAGCCUUCCAGUCAUUGCCAGAUUGUUGAUUACCCAGUGCUAACAGCUCUUGGCCUUCUCAGCAGUUUUGCUCGUCUUUAUCCUUUUUUGCCUGCCUAACAUGCUUUUUGUGUUAGUUCUGAUCGGAGAUCCAGAUCUGCCUUUUUGUCUGUCCACCUGCUUGUCUGUCACACCCUCCACAUUUAGAGAUUCAUUCAUUCAUUCAUCUGUGGAUACCAAUAAAACCUUUACU